ACGGGUGAGUAACACGUGGACAAUCGUGACCCCCCGGCCCGGGAUAGCCCCAGGGAAACCUGGAUUAAUACCGGAUGAGACGGGACCCGCGAUGGCGGGAUCCGGGAAAGGCGCUGCGGCGCCGCCGGGGGAUGAGUCUGCGUACCCAUUAGCUAGACGCGGGGUAACGGCCCACCGUGGCGACGAUGGGUAGCCGGCCUGAGAGGGUGACGGCCACAUUGGAACUGAGACACGGUCCAGACUCCUACGGGAGGCAGCAGCUAAGAAUCUUCCGCAAUGGGCGAAAGCCUGACGGAGCGAACGCCGCGUGAACGAAGAAGGCCGUGAGGUUGUAAAGUUCUUUUCGGGAGGGGGAACAACCGUGGCAGGGAAUGGCCGCGGGAUGACGUGAAUCCCGGAAUAAGCCCCGGCUAACUACGUGCCAGCCGCGGC
rnacentral:rRNA from 1 species